GACGAACGCUGGCGGCGUGCUUAACACAUGCAAGUCGAACGGAAAGGCCCUGCUUUUGUGCGCUGCUGGAGUGGCGAACGGGUGAGUAACACGUGAGUAACCUGCCCUUGACUUCGGGAUAACUUCAGGAAACUAGGGCUAAUACAGGAUAGGAGCUCCUGCCGCAUGGUGGGGGUUGGAAAGUUUCGGCGGUUGGGGAUGGACUCGCGGCUUAUCAGCUUGGUGGUGGGGUAGUGGCAUACCAAGGCAUUGACGGGUAGCCGGCCUGAGAGGGUGACCGGCCACAUUAGUACUGAGAUACGGCCCAGACUCCAACGGGAGGCAACGGUGGGGAAUAUUACACAGUGGGCGGGAGCCUGAUGCGACAACGCCGCGUGCGGGAAGACGGCCUGCGGGUUGUAAACCGCAGUCGCCUGUGACGAAGCGUGAGUGACGGUAACGGGUAAAGAAGCACCGGCUAACUACGUG
rnacentral:rRNA from 1 species